UUAUUUGAGAGUUUGAUCCUGGCUCAGGAUGAACGCUGGCGGCGUGCCUAACACAUGCAAGUUGAGCGAUUUACUUCGGUAAAGAGCGGCGGACGGGUGAGUAACGCGUGGGUAACCUACCCUGUACACACGGAUAACAUACCGAAAGGUAUGCUAAUACGGGAUAACAUAUUUGAGAGGCAUCUCUUAAAUAUCAAAGGUGAGCCAGUACAGGAUGGACCCGCGUCUGAUUAGCUAGUUGGUAAGGUAACGGCUUACCAAGGCGACGAUCAGUAGCCGACCUGAGAGGGUGAUCGGCCACAUUGGAACUGAGACACGGUCCAAACUCCUACGGGAGGCAGCAGUGGGGAAUAUUGCACAAUGGGCGAAAGCCUGAUGCAGCAACGCCGCGUGAGUGAUGAAGGCCUUCGGGUCGUAAAACUCUGUCCUCAAGGAAGAUAAUGACGGUACUUGAGGAGGAAGCCCCGGCUAACUACGUGCCAGCAGCCGCGGUAAUACGUAGGGGGCUAGCGUUAUCCGGAUUUACUGGGCGUAAAGGGUGCGUAGGCGGUCUUUCAAGUCAGGAGUGAAAGGCUACGGCUCAACCGUAGUAAGCUCUUGAAACUGGGAGACUUGAGUGCAGGAGAGGAGAGUGGAAUUCCUAGUGUAGCGGUGAAAUGCGUAGAUAUUAGGAGGAACACCAGUUGCGAAGGCGGCUCUCUGGACUGUAACUGACGCUGAGGCACGAAAGCGUGGGGAGCAAACAGGAUUAGAUACCCUGGUAGUCCACGCUGUAAACGAUGAGUAC
rnacentral:rRNA from 1 species